rnacentral:rRNA from 1 species
UUGUCCUACGGGAGGCAGCAGUGAGGAAUAUUGGUCAAUGGCCGAGAGGCUGAACCAGCCAAGUCGCGUGAGGGAAGACGGCCCUACGGGUUGUAAACCUCUUUUGUCGGGGAGCAAAGCGAACCACGUGUGGUUCAUUGAGAGUACCCGAAGAAAAAGCAUCGGCUAACUCCGUGCCAGCAGCCGCGGUAAUACGGAGGAUGCGAGCGUUAUCCGGAUUUAUUGGGUUUAAAGGGUGCGUAGGCGGAUCGUUAAGUCAGUGGUCAAAUUGAGGGGCUCAACCCCUUCCCGCCAUUGAAACUGGC